AUCUCAGGAAUAGAGAAUUCGACGUUUCGAGCAUAAGCCCUUCAUCAGGAAUAAGAGAGAGAGAGCCAAGCCGGCUGAGAUAAAAGAUGAGAAUGGAAUGAAGUGAAUGAUACUGCAUAAUACUCCACAGCACAGAGGUGGAACGAGUAGAAAGUGUUAAGCUCCUGGGAGUAGUCAUCCACAACAAACUUUCUUGGACUCUUCAUCUGGAUGUACUGGUUAUAAAGGUUUAACAAUGUCUCUUCUU